UACGUAGGGUCCGAGCGUUGUCCGGAAUUAUUGGGCGUAAAGGGCUCGUAGGCGGUUCGUCACGUCGGGAGUGAAAACUCGGGGCUUAACCCCGAGCCUGCUUCCGAUACGGGCAGACUAGAGGUAGGCAGGGGAGAGCGGAACUCCUGGUGUAGCGGUGGAAUGCGCAGAUAUCAGGAAGAACACCGGUGGCGAAGGCAGUGUUCUGGGCCAGUACUGACGCUGAGGAGCGAAAGCGUGGGUAGCAAACAGG
rnacentral:rRNA from 1 species